UACGUAGGGUGCGAGCGCUGUCCGGAAUUACUGGGCGUAAAGAGCUCGUAGGUGGUUUGUCGCGUUGUCCGUGAAAACUCACAACUCAAUUGUGGGCGUGCGGGCGAUACGGGCAGACUGGAGUACUGCAGGGGAGACUGGAAUUCCUGGUGUAGCGGUGGAAUGCGCAGAUAUCAGGAGGAACACCGGUGGCGAAGGCGGGUCUCUGGGCAGUAACUGACGCUGAGGAGCGAAAGCGUGGGGAGCGAACAGG
rnacentral:rRNA from 1 species